GCCAUAGCUCAGUGGUAAAGCAUCUGCCUUGCACACAGAAGGUCCCAGGUUCAAUCCCCCAGCAUCUCCU
rnacentral:tRNA from 1 species